UGGACUUCAGUCUGAGUUUUCUCAGCAUGUUGACUAAGCUUUUUUAGUUGUGGAUAAUCAGUAACACCGCUUUGGCUGGUAUUAGCAGCUGUUUUGCUUAGCUCUCCUUCAGGUCUUCUACGAACAUAGACAAGAUGCCCACUACCAGAAUUGUUUGUCGAGCAUCGGUUGAGUGGGUUCACAAGGCAUUCCGGGGUAGGUCUUUUUGAGCCAGUUAUAUUAGAAACUUUAUUCGCCAUAGUAUUCGCUUCAGGAAAUAGUGGGCUUUCAGUAGAUUUGGAGGCAGCAACCACACUUUCACUCUGUGAAUCUUGUAGUGCAGGCCCUACUAUGGCUACUGGGACCGACAGCUGUUUAUCAUGCUUGGGUAAACCAAAACCAGAUUUAGCAUUAGUCUGGUCACUUGACUUUGAAUCUACAGUUUGUUCACCCAUCUCAUAGGCUCACAACAUCAAGAUGAUGGAGCAUGACAUGAGAUGAAUAUGUUCCAUUCAAAGUGGUUCCAUUCCAAUACAUAAUGAAAAUGAUCUGCAGCUAUUAUUAAUAAUAUGUGUAUGCUUCCAGAUUCUUCACGACGAGGAAGGAAUGGUGG
rnacentral:misc_RNA from 1 species